UACGUAGGUGGCAAGCGUUGUCCGGAUUUAUUGGGUUUAAAGGGUGCGUAGGCGGCUUUGUAAGUCAGUGGUGAAAUAUGGCAGCUCAACUGUCAGGGUGCCAUUGAUACUGCGGAGCUUGAGUACAGAUGAGGUAGGCGGAAUUGACGGUGUAGCGGUGAAAUGCUUAGAUAUCUGGAGGAACACCGGUGGCGAAGGCGGCAUCCUGGACCAACACUGACACUGAUGAGCGGAAAGCCAGGGGAGCAAACGGG
rnacentral:rRNA from 1 species